rnacentral:miRNA from 7 species
UGGAGAAGCAGGGCACGUGCG